GAUUAACACCGCAUAAAAACACAGGAUAGCAUUAUCCAAUGUUCAAAUAUUUAUAGGAUUGAGAUGGGCAUGCGUGUCAUUAGCUAGUUGGCGGGGUAACGGCCCACCAAGGCGACGAUGACUAGGGGAUCUGAGAGGAUGACCCCCCACACUGGUACUGAGACACGGACCAGACUCCUACGGGAGGCAGCAGUAAGGAAUAUUGGUCAAUGGAGGCAACUCUGAACCAGCCAUGCCGCGUGCAGGAAGACUGCCCUAUGGGUUGUAAACUGCUUUUAUCUGGGAAUAAACCUUUCUACGUGUAGGAAGCUGAAUGUACCAGAAGAAUAAGGAUCGGCUAACUCCGUGCCAGCAGCCGCGGUAAUACGGAGGAUCCAAGCGUUAUCCGGAUUUAUUGGGUUUAAAGGGUGCGUAGGCGGCCUGUUAAGUCAGAGGUGAAAGACGGUAGCUCAACUAUCGCAGUGCCUUUGAUACUGAUGGGCUUGAAUGAACUAGAGGUAGGCGGAAUGAGACAAGUAGCGGUGAAAUGCAUAGAUAUGUCUCAGAACACCGAUUGCGAAGGCAGCUUACUAUGGUUUUAUUGACGCUGAGGCACGAAAGCGUGGGGAUCAAACAGGAUUAGAUACCCUGGUAGUCCACGCCCUAAACGAUGAACACUCGCUGUUGGCGAUACACAGUCAGCGGCUAAGCGAAAGCGUUAAGUGUUCCACCUGGGGAGUACGGUCGCAAGAUUGAAACUCAAAGGAAUUGACGGGGGCCCGCACAAGCGGAGGAGCAUGUGGUUUAAUUCGAUGAUACGCGAGGAACCUUACCCGGGCUUGAAAGUUAGUGAAGAUUUAGAGAUAGAUUCGU
rnacentral:rRNA from 1 species